GUUGCAGGGCGUUUAGUCCUGCGUGGGUGCCGCUAUCCGGCUUGGGUGAAUGGGUGACAAGAAGAGAGAGCAAGGAAUUAUACAGGAGGAAAGAGGAUGGAGCGGAGCUUCAGACAUUAUCUAGUUACGUGCCUGACCAGAUGCUGUAGCUAGGUUCGCAAACUGCCGACUGAGAUGCAGGUUAAGCUUUGGGUGGGAGCCCGAGACAAGAGGCCGUGAAUUUCCAGCCUGCGGGAUAUCCAAGGGCGCGAAGAUGAGUGACGCUAGUCGGGUGAGCAGACUCUGAGAGACAGAGUAGGAGCCUGGAAUUGCCGACUUUUGGGGUUACUAAGGACAUGAAGACCAGCGAAUUCGUUGGACAUGGGGAGUGGGACAAGGGCGGAUGAACGAGACUGGCUCCGGGGGCGACUGUGAGGCUGUAGAAGCCCGGAGGUUCUUAGAUGUGAUCUCUAGAAAAGAAGACCCAAAAUAAUAAUAGCAGUAAUUUUAAGAAGAUGGAAAAAUACUCCUUUGCUGAAACCACAGCUAACCAUCUUAGAAGAAAGGCAAGGUUUUAUUUACAAGAUGACAACAUGGGGUAAACACAAGUCAUCUCUAUGCUCUUCAAGAGGAAGUACUUAAUCUCAGCUUUUUUUUCAAGUGGACACAUGCUCAGCCAUAAGCUGCUUGAAUAGUUUUGUUUUUAUAGGUUACUCCCCAGCUAAGAUCAGGAGACCCUAAUUUCAUUUCACAUGUUUCAGAGUGGUAUCAAUAAAAAGCCCUGUGAUUACAAUGUCAGCUUUAGUUGGUGACUUUGAUAGCUGAAUGGGCUAAAAUUUGAUUUCACGCAUUUAAAGAUAAGGGGAUGCUCAUGGGGUCAUAGAGUCAUAUGGUACAACAGGAACCAGUUCAUUCCUUACUAGCCAAGAAAAGGUGCAAAAUAAACAGCUAGUCUGCCACUAAAGCAACUUUCAUCUGUUUGUAUCAAUCUUUGGUCAUACUAUUUCUUUAAUCGUGUUGGCUCAGGGUGCUGUUGAA